UCCAAAAAUAUAAUGAAAAGUUGGGGGUGU
rnacentral:piRNA from 1 species